ACACUUCACCAUUCCCCUUGCUUUGUAAUUGAAUUCCUGCAACAUAUCCAUUGUUGCAGGACUCUCGGACAUUCUGUUGAAAAAUACAGCUAGUGCCAGGACCAAAAAGAACAAGAUGAACUGACUGACCUCAUGCAAGUCGCCCAAAAUGAGGAUCGACUAAAUUAUUCAAACUGAACUGGAAAUAUGAGUGCUCACCAGCCAGCUGGGAGGCCUCACUGGAGAUUCUGGGAACUCAGGGUCUCCUCAUACUAGCAAAUAUUGCAAGAAGAAGGCACACAAGUUGAACAGUAAUUGAGCAGGUACUUCUCAUGAAAUACUCAAUUGGAAGAAGUUUGUAAUCCUCCUCCACCAAGACUACUGUUUGGCAAAGAUGGCUUUUAUCUUGCUAGCACACACAUUACUCUCCAAGACAACUUGAUGAACAUGAUCCAGUGGCUUUGCUAAUUGCCAUUCUUCUUUGAAAGUUUGAGGCUUAGAGUUAGAUGAAAUAUACACCAUCAAUCUACAAGAUUGUGAGAAACAAACAAAAUAAUGCAUGCAGAAGUGCUUAUAUGCUAAAAUAGGAUGCAAAUAUAGGGCUACCCCCCAAAAUUUGAUUUUCAAGAAUGUUUCACUGAGUUACUCAUUCAUACCAGGAAAAUUGAUCUUUUAUCUGGAUUCUGGGAAUGGGGCUUUGAAGCUCAAUUCACAAUAACUAAGAUAUGGAAUCAAGCUAAAUGUCCACCAACUGAUGACUAGAUAAGGAAAAUGUGGUGUAUAUACACAGUGGAAUACUACUCAGCUGUAAGAACAAAGGAAAUCCUUUCUUUUGCAAGAAAAUGGAUGCAACUGGAGACCAUUAUGCUUAGUGAAGCAAACCAAUCUCCAAUAGAAAAAUGUUUCCUGUCAUAUGUGGUAAUUAAUAAAGAAUACCAAAAAAAGUGGCUGUUUAACCAUGGACUGAUCAAUCAGUUAAAGGAUACAUCGAGCAGUGUUUGAUUCCUGAGAGAGCAAGAUGCUGUCUUGCCUAUCACCUUCAACUUCUGUCUGGACUACAUUCCAGUCUCUGUAGUGAAGAACAGUACUGUAGCUGACAGCAGUCUGCCUAUGCCCAAUGCUGACUCCCCUGGCCAGCUUGUUUGGAAGUGAUUACACGCAUGCUUCAAUGAAGGACUUGGUUCAACUCUCCUCCGAGAUCUUCAGUUGGACAGACUGUUCCUGUAAACAAACUGCUUUUCUUGUUCAUAAACCAGGGUGGAGGUCAGGGAGACCUAAUGGCACCCCGUCUUACAGAAAUCACUUAUGUGGAUGGAGAAUAUACACUGUACAUCCUGGGAUUUUUGUUUUGAGACUUGCUGCACUUGUUCACCAUCACACUGAUUUGAAAAUUUAUACAUAUGUCUACAAAGAAAACAGCAAAUUUGAAGUCAGUGUGAAGUACGAUGAAAACAUAAAAGGUAUACAUGUUUAAAGUUUGAGACUUCAGCUUAAAAUUAAAAUAAAAACCAGAAAAGGAUCAGUCUAUUGAAAAGAAACUAAGUGUUGUUGGAGUGAAAAGUAAAGAAUGAGAAACCUAACUCGAUUAUAUUUCUGAAUACUUUUGGGAUUAAAGUUGCAAUCUAAGAAAUUCAAAAAGAGGACAUCAGAGGCUACAGGUGAGUUAUAAAGUAGUGCCAAUGUUCCACUCACAGGCACAUUUUCACUAAGAGGCAGCUCAAGGACAGGUAUGACCUAAAACAGGUCGAAGCUGUAGGUUGUCUCAAAGGUUCUAUGAAGAAGAAUGCAUGAGAAGACUACAAAAAAUAAUGCAUGGAAAAAGGAUAUUUUGAAAAAACUAUGGAUGCAAUUCACAAUCUCUUACACCAAAAUCAACUUAGGUAGGUACUCCAUUUUCCAUGAACUUUAUGAAGUACCCUCAGCUCCUGCCAUUUCAGAGUAUGUCUGUAUUUAUUAAUACACAUAGAUGAGCAAUAAAUACCAAGUUGAGACUUUUACAUUACACUUAUGAAAAUGAAAAUUGGAUCUGAAUAGCCACUUCUUAAAAGUUUUCUACAAAUCUGUAGUCUUCCAGAACAUAUAGCAAGGACAGAAGUCUGUGUGUGCACAACAACAUUCUAUUCAUGCGCAUGCAACUUUGAGAAAAGCCAUUUCUGCAGACAGAAAAUGGAGAUUCUAGGUCAUGUUUUAAUGCCUACAUGACUUAGAACAUAUGAUUAGUAUUAAUCUGUUACUGAAGUUUUUUUUUUUUUUUUCCAGCAAUGAAGUAGAUGGUUUACUGACUGAAAUACAAUUGCACUUUGAACUUAAUUUGUAUUUUCCAUUUACUCAGCAUAGGUAAGGACAUUUCAAAAAGUUCAUGGGAAUUGGGAUUACAAGAUAAGUAUAUUUUUGUGCAAAUACUUGGUCAUCACCAAGUUCAUGGAAAAUGUAUGCUAAGGAAACAAUGCACAGUUCAAUUCCAGCUUCCUGUCAGCUUGGGAGUGCUCUCAUAAUACUGGCUAUGGUGAUACCCUUUUUUCAGAAUCUGGUGAAUGAGCAGUAAGAAAGGCUUCUCUGUCCACAGGGAGUUUGUAUCCAGUAGAGGAAACAAAUUUUCAGUAAUCAUAUGGUUGCUAUAAAUAUCUUAGGAGCAUCCACAUGCUCAAGCUUGUUUCUUUAAAAGUUUUCAUUUAAUUUCAAUUUUAUUAGACUGAAGAAGUUUAAACUCCUAUUUUACUUUUAAAAUUGUUUCACUGCCUAGCAAAAUAGCACAAAUAAAACACAAUGCAUGGUAAAGCAUUUUCAGAGAUAUUUUUAAACAAAACUUUGAAGAUCUUACUGAUUAUUAUCUCAAAGAUACAAAUGCCUUUUUUGAUCACACAGAGAAUGGACUGUCAGGAGAAAUUUGUUUUUUGUAACAAUUAUAAGGAUUAGUCUCUUAGCAGUGGUGGAUUUAAGACAGAUAACAUAAGCUGUUUAUGAAUACCCCACAGCAUCAUAAUACACAAAAACAAGAUUCAUGUCCUGACCUCACAUUCUUAUGAUUCCCUGUCUCAUUCAGAUAGCGUUCACAAUGAGGACCACAUCCUGUGAGGCUCCACAUGAUGCACACCUUCACCCCACCUUGAUCUCACUGCCUCUGUUUCCUACUUAACCCUUUGCUCAUUUGACUUAUUGCCCUAUUUCUCAGAUUCCCACUCUUUCCUCAGGUUGCUUAUACUCGCUGCUCCCUGUACUAGAACACUCCUUCUCCAGACAGUUCCAUGGCUGACUAUAGAUCUUUACUAUCAUAUUCUCUUAUCAGCAAAAGCUUUCCUGGACCUAUCAUCUACAUUUUACCACUACCCUAUUACUUUCUCAUUAUUAUUUAAGUAUUCUUUUAGGUACAACUUGUUUUCUGAUGUCUUAUCACUGUGCUUCCCUUACCCACUCAAAAAGGAAGAAUUAUGCGGACAAAGAUUGAGGUCUGUUUCGUGGUGAUAGGCCCUUGUAUCACAAAUACAGUAUCUGGCUGAUCAACUUAUUAAUAACCCCAUUGCACAGGAUGCCACAGAUUUAUAAUCCACACUGCAUGGGAUACUAAUUGGCAUUCUGAAGCACUAAUGAAAAGGAAAAGUAAUUUGCAGGAAGGAGACAGAGGCUGGACCUAGGAAGUAGACCUAAGGAAGUUCUGUUUAACCUGGACGGUGAAAAACUUGACCAAUGAGACCUUUCCUCUUAGUUAAGAAGGUUCACAAAGUACACAGAGGUUAGCGGCAGGCAUAGGAGCGAAUGGCUCAGAAAAGAUUCCAAUUAGUAGAAGAUGAGAGUAAAACGCAACUAUUUAGUAAUCACAGUGGUAUAAAAACUGGAAGCCAUAGCUAAGGACCUGAGUUACCUCAGGAGCACAGAUGAGAGUGAGUGAUUUAUGUUAACUGACCUGUUUUUCUGAGCCUCUGCCAACACUGGAUAUCUAGUUGUGGGACAACUAGGGUUUUAGUUGCUUAGCUUGCUUAUUCAUGUAUCUCUAGCACACUUCCUAUUAUCUCAGAUAAAGUCACCUAUCAGAGCAACCACACAACUUCUACUUUAAGUCAACUGGGUGAAUAGCAAAACAAAGGAUAAAGCACUCUGAAGAGUUGCUGUAGUAUCCAAAUGUCUGCUUUCUGUUUAAACUGCACGUCACACUGGUCAGCUCUGGGCCUCCCCAGUUUCCUUGCUGGCUCUCUUUCAUUGUGUUGGAUUUGUUCUUGGCACUGCUUUUUUUUUUUUUUUUUAAAAUACAUAUUUAUUUGUAAGAGAGGGAGAGACAGAGACCUUCCAACUGCUGAUUCAGCUCCCAGAUAGCCACACUAGUUAGUGCUGAGCCAUGCUGAAGCCAGGAGCAUCAUCUGGGUCUCCCACAUGGGCCAUCUUUUGCUGCUUUUCUUAGGCAUUAGAAGAGAGCUGGAUCAGAAGUGGAGCAGCUAAGACAUGAACUUGUGCACAUAUGGGAUGCAGGUAUUGGGGUGGCCCCUGGAAACUCCUUUGAAUGGAUCUGAACUAUGUCAAACUUUAUAUUCACAAUCAUUUGCAUCUCUUACUUGCUGUAAGAGAUUUCAACUAUAAUUCAGGCCAAAUGACAAAACCCAUCCCUUGUACAAUAGAGAGGCCUUAUUUGUAUGGAAAUAAGUAGGCAUAAACUUUUGAUUCAGAUAUGUUUUACAUGUAUAGCUUGGGUGAUGCCUAGAGUACAUACUUUUGAAAAGCUUCCAGGUGGUAAAUGAGGAUAAUUGCUAAGAUCAUGAAAACAUACAAAUAAAGUGCUUUUGUGCAAAAAGUUUUGAAAUUAGUGGUUUUUCAUAAGACGAGUUUGCUGUGAACUUUUUGAAUACUCCUCCCAUGUGUGGAUAUCAAAAUUUCUGUGCCAAAAGAAAUCCAUCUUUUAAUUCCAUUUACCACAAUAAAGUCCGCUCAUGCCAUAUCUUGCUUUAAAAAUAAUUAUAGGAGAGUUACUGUGCUAAAUGGCAAUUAUUCCUUGAACAAAUGCAUACUUGACAAUUCAUCACAUUACAACAAAAAUAGCAUUGUCAAAUAUAACAUUAUAAAGAACUGCUAACACCUAAUUUUUCUGUUUCCUUAGUCCUAGUAUUGCUAGGUCAGAGAAAAGCCUGACACAGAAUGAUAUUCUGGCAGGGUUGUGUGCUUCCUUAUACAAGGAAACCUGGAAUUUGCUCUUUAUCUUUUCUUUCUUCAUGUUAAUUAAAAAGGGCUUAAGAAUCUCAUGAUAUCCUUUACUUAUCUUUACACAAAAAGACAUAUAAUUCGACAUGGUUUAACAAACAUUGAAGUUAAUUAAUUUUUAAGUAUUUUCAGUAUCCUGGAUAAGACACAAAUGUCAGAGUAUUUCUCUUAACUUGUGGAUUACACUACAGAAUAUAUGUAAGUCAAGCUACAACAAAUUGUACAGAACCACUGUUCUCAAUGGUAAGGUUG